CCUACGGGAGACAGCAGUGAGGAAUAUUGGUCAAUGGGCGCGAGCCUGAACCAGCCAAGUAGCGUGAAGGAUGAAUGCCCUACGGGUUGUAAACUUCUUUUAUAAAGGAAUAAAGUGAGGCACGUGUGCCUUUUUGUAUGUACUCUAUGAAUAAGGAUCGGCUAACUCCGUGCCAGAAGCCGCGGUAAUACGGAGGAUCCGAGGGUUAUCCGGAUUGAUUGGGUUUAAAGGUGGCGUAGGCGGCCUUGUAAGUCAGCGGUGAAAGUCUGUGGCUCAACCAUAGGAUUGCCGUUGAAACUGGGGGGCUUGAGUAUGUUUGAGGCAGGCGGAAUGCGUGGUGUAGCGGUGAAAUGCUUAGAUAUCACGCAGAACCCCGAUUGCGAAGGCAGCCUGCCAAGCCAUGACUGACGCUGAUGCACGAAAGCGUGGGGAUCAAACAGGAUUAGAUACCCGGGUAGUC
rnacentral:rRNA from 1 species